AGGACGAACGCUGGCGGCGUGCUUAACACAUGCAAGUCGAGCGGUGAUCCUCCUUCGGGAGGUGAUCAGCGGCGAACGGGUGAGUAACACGUGGGCAACCUGCCCCUCACACUGGGAUAACCUCGGGAAACCGGGGCUAAUACCGGAUACGACCUCGAGCGGCAUCUCUUGAGGUGGAAGCUCCGACGGUGAGGGAUGGGCCCGCGGCCUAUCAGCUUGGUUGGUGGGUAAUGGCCUACCAAGGCGACGACGGGUA
rnacentral:rRNA from 1 species